rnacentral:rRNA from 1 species
UUUUGUAUUAUCGAUCGUAUUAAUGCCCAAUCUCAUUAGAUCUCAGAAGUAAGCAAGCCUGUGUCUGGUUAGUCAUGGGAUGGGAGACCGCUGGGAAUACAAGGUGCCAGCAGGAG